CCUCGCGUGGUGAAAUUACAAUCAUGCAGCGCUUCGAACGCUGUGUUGUGGGUGGGAGUCCCGCCGCGAGGUCCA
rnacentral:tRNA from 1 species